GACGAACGCUGGCGGCGGGCUUAACACAUGCAAGUCGAACGGAAAGGCCCUGCUUUUGUGGGGUGCUCGAGUGGCGAACGGGUGAGUAACACGUGAGUAACCUGCCCUUGACUUUGGGAUAACUUCAGGAAACUGGGGCUACUACAGGAUAGGAGCUCCUGCUGCAGGGUGGGGGUUGGAAAGUUUCGGCGGUGGGGGAUGGACUCGCGGCUUAUCAGCUUGUUGGUUGGGUAGUGGCUUACCGAGGCAUUGACGGGUAGCCGGCCUGAGAGGGUGGCCGGCCACAUUGGGACUGAGGUACGGCCCAGACUCCUACGUGAGGCAGCGGUGGGGAAUAUUGCACAAUGGGCGGAAGCCUGAUGCAGCAACGUCGCGUGCGGGAUGACGGCCUUCGGGUUGUAAACCGCUUUCGCCUGUGACGAAGCGUGAGUGACGGUAAUGGGUAAAGAAGCACCGGCUAACUACGUG
rnacentral:rRNA from 1 species